CUACGGGUGGCUCCAGUGGGGAAUAUUGCACAAUGGGCGCAAGCCUGAUGCAGCCAUGCCGCGUGUAUGAAGAAGGCCUUCGGGUUGUAAAGUACUUUCAGUGGGGAGGAAGGGAGUAAAGUUAAUACCUUUGCUCAUUGACGUUACCCGCAGAAGAAGCACCGGCUAACUCCGUGCCAGCAGCCGCGGUAAUACGGAGGGUGCAAGCGUUAAUCGGAAUUACUGGGCGUAAAGCGCGCGCAGGCGGUUUGUUAAGUCAGAUGUGAAAUCCCCGGGCUCAACCUGGGAACUGCAUCUGAUACUGGCAAGCUUGAGUCUCGUAGAGGGGGGUAGAAUUCCAGGUGUAGCGGUGAAAUGCGUAGAGAUCUGGAGGAAUACCGGUGGCGAAGGCGGCCCCCUGGACGAAGACUGACGCUCAGGUGCGAAAGCGUGGGGAGCAAACAGGAUUAGAUACCCGAGUAGUC
rnacentral:rRNA from 1 species